ACUGCUGGUUAAUGGUGUUGAUUCCUUUGUAUUGUAAACUUUGAGGCACAUCGCUGGAAAAUGCAUGACCAUCACAACUUGUGUACAAUUAACACAGCCUCUAAAGUGUGUGCAAGUUUUCUUUCUCCCUUACAAGAAGACUGUAAUGGAUAGAGCUGCUUUUAAGAAGGAUGAGGACACCUCCUGGAGCCAUCCCAAAUCAAGCUGCAACACCCACAUGUUCUCCUACAAGCGCUGCUUCUUCAUACGCAAACAAUUACAGUCAAAGAACGCUUGAUGCACUACUUUCAGCUCCUGCAAGAGAGUCUAAGCCGCACCUCCACCCAAGAAAUAUCAAUGGAGCUUUAUGAUAAGUUCAUAAUAACAUAAAAUAUGCUUGUUUAUUUGUAUAAUCUGUGAAGGUUCUCUUCACUAUCUGUUUCAUUAUAUUUUCUCAGGUUUGGUGUUGAUCCUUCUAUAUACAAAUCAGUUCUCACAAUAUGGCAAAGCAAUUUCAUGGGACCAUGGAAAAAUUGGUAAGAUGUUCCUGAGGAUAGGCAAAAAAUUUGGUGGCACACUUUUGUGCAACAAUUCUACUGGGAACAACGUUUCUACGAUGAAGUCUACUUACAUUGGAAGAAAAAGACAAUGAAAUCAAUUGGUGACCGCAUCAGCAAGAAGAAGAGGAUGAACAAGAAACCCAAAUACUCUACUCAAGAGCAUUGGGACCUCCUAAUGGAGUAUUAAGAUUCAGAACCAGCUCAAAAGCAGAGCAAGUCCGUAGCUGGAAGCCGCAUGUCUGAUCCUCUUAAUCGAGGUAUUCAUAAGCAUUGUGCUGGCCCUCGAGCAUUUGCAAGUAUUGAUUAUAAGCUGAUAAGUACGUCUAAAAGUGGGUACAUCUACGGAUUAGGCAGCGUACAAUACCGGGAAAUCAUUCCAUCCAAAUAAAAGCGUUUCUAUGGC